CCAAGAACUUAAAGCUCCUGUACCAAUCAGCAGAGGAAGUACUGAAGGACCAAAUUCUAUUGGUCAAUAUUUCCUGGAACUUCAUUGAGGCUCAAGUGCUCCAUGUCUAGUUUCCACAUUUGCUUGAGGAGAAAAAAAGAAGAAGCUAUUUUAAUGACAAGUCAUUGUUACAUUGAUUUUAAACGACACCACCACAAAAAUUGGUCUUUGGACUCAAAAGAAUCAAUUUGCUAGUCAUGCUAACAAGGCUAGUAUGAGGAAAUUCUGUGGAAAAGUUAGCUGAAAGUUUAUGUGUUGUG